GAAUGGUGGCCGAUGCGAUAAUGCGAAUGGACCUAUCUAGAGCCAGUUUUUGGGUUUGUCUGUUCUGGGCUACAGUACAACAAUAUGGUGGACUCCAAGAAAGAGGAUUUGCUCCAAAUUUUUACACACAGGAAUGAUGUGCCAAGCCAAAACGUCCUACAUUGACACUGAGAUUGAGUGGGGCGCUCGCUUUGAGUCCCGCAUGAGUCCGGAGAAAGGCUCCUUCAGAGCGGACCUGCGCCGGUUUCACACCGCCCACCAGGUCCCACUGACCCGCUGCAGCGCCAGCCAGGCCCACCGGUUAAUGACUCUGGCACAAGACUCCAGAGCCACUAAAGACUGGGGGACUUGGACUAAGACAAGCAACCGUCUCACGGUGGAUUCAGUUUUGAUAAUAUCCCGGAGGAGAGAGCGUCUGAGGACAAUGAAAGUGAAGGGAGUUCAGGAAAACACGCACCGCGGUCUUAAUUAGUUGCACCUCACCUGCAUCGGUCAGAUAUUUUAUUGAGCGAGGAGAUCCAGUGAAGAAGAUCCAAUGAGUCCAGUAAACGGUGAACUUCCCAGCUUGAAUCCCAGGAAUCUGGAUCUGCAGCGCCACUGGAAUACCCGGAUGAACUAUCUGCUUUUGGGACUGCGGUUCACGCUGCACCUCAUCUCCUCUUCCACAGAACCGACACCCUGCACAGGCGUCACCUUUGCAAACAAC